rnacentral:lncRNA from 1 species
UCUUCCUCUUGUAUAACAAUGAUGCAAUUGCUUGCCUCUAUACUUGUCCUGACCACAAAAUCAAAAACAACAAUUCCUAAAAGCACAUCAACUUCGAAGAAUAACAAAUUAUCAACUUCCGAUUCGAAGCAUACCUGUCCGAAUUCGAGCGCGAGUUGCUGGAGGUCCGACUCCGACAUGCCGAUGAGCACGCCGGUUCCAAUUCUCUUGCUGAUGGGAGGCGAGGCUACUCUAGCGGGGGGACCGCGCUGCCACUGCCACAGGAAACUGCUAGCGCGCGAAAUUGUACGGCACGAGCGAGCGGCGCGUGGCGUAAUGCGGCCAUUGGCCUCAUUUUUAGGGAGAAAUUUGAAUAGAUGAAAUGAUGAGGAUGAGUGAAAUGAUAAAACC